rnacentral:rRNA from 1 species
UAACAGGAUUCCCUUAGUAACUGCGAGUGAAGAGGGAAAAGCUCAAAUUUAAAAUCUGGCAGUGCUUCACUGUCCGAGUUGUAACCUAGAGAAGUGUAACCUGCGCUGGACCGUGUACAAGUCUCCUGGAAUGGAGCAUCACAGAGGGUGAGAAUCCCGUCUUUGACAUGGACUACCAGUGCAUUGUGGUUGUGCUCUCAACGAGUCGAGUUGUUUGGGAAUGCAGCUCUAAAUGGGUGGUAAAUUCCAUCUAAAGCUAAAUAUUGGCGAGAGACCGAUAGCGAACAAGUACCGUGAGGGAAAGAUGAAAAGAACUUUGGAAAGAGAGUUAAACAGUAUGUGAAAUUGUUGAAAGGGAAACGUUUGAAGUCAGUCGCGUUAACUGGGGAUCAGCCUGACAUUGUUGGGUGUACUUCCUGGUCGACGGGCCAACAUCAGUUUUGAUUGCCAGAAAAAGGCCAAAGGAAUGUGGCACCUUUGGGUGUGUUAUAGCCCUUGGUCGUAUAUGGUGGUUGGGACUGAGGAAAGCAGCGUGCCGAAAGGCCGGGUCGUUUCGACCACGUUCACGCUGAGGAUGUUGGCAUAAUGGCUUUAAGCGACCCGUCUUGAAACACGGACCAAGGAGUCUAACAUGCGUGCGAGUGUUUGGGUGGAAAACCCUUACGCGUAAUGAAAGUGAAAGUUGAGAUCCCUGUCGCGGGGAGCAUCGACGCCCGGACCAGAACUUUUGGGACGGAUCUGCGGUAGAGCAUGUAUGUUGGGACCCGAAAGAUGGUGAACUAUGCCUGAAUAGGGUGAAGCCAGAGGAAACUCUGGUGGAGGCUCGUAGCGAUUCUGACGUGCAAAUCGAUCGUCAAAUUUGGGUAUAGGGGCGAAAGACUAAUCG